AGUAGCGAAGGUCAUGAUCUCACACUGCCAAGAAAAGCCUCUAGUCAGGUGAAGGUGCCCGUACCGCAAACCGACACAGGUAGGCGAGAAGAGAAUUCUAAGGCGCGCGGAAGAACUCUCGUUAAGGAACUCGGCAAAAUGACCCCGUAACUUCGGGAGAAGGGGUGCCUCGGUAGGGUGAAUAGCCCGAGGGGGCCGCAGUGAAAAGGCCCAAGCGACUGUUUAGCAAAAACACAGGUCUGUGCGAAGCCGUAAGGCGAAGUAUACGGGCUGACGCCUGCCCGGUGCUGGAAGGUUAAGGGGAGCGGUUAGGAGCAAUCCGAAGCUGUGAACCGAAGCCCCAGUAAACGGCGGCCGUAACUAUAACGGUCCUAAGGUAGCGAAAUUCCUUGUCAGGUAAAUUCUGACCCGCACGAAUGGCGUAACGACUUGGGCGCUGUCUCAACGAGAGAUCCGGUGAAAUUUUAAUACCUGUGAAGAUGCAGGUUACCCGCGACAAGACGGAAAGACCCCAUGGAGCUUUACUGCAGCUUGAUAUUGGAUUUGGGUACGAUCUGUACAGGAUAGGUGGGAGCCUUCGAAGCAUGAGCGCCAGCUUGUGUGGAGGCGACGUUGGGAUACCACCCUGAUCGUAUCUAGGUUCUAACUUGGUACCGUGAUCCGGUACGAGGACAGUGUCAGGCGGGCAGUUUGACUGGGGCGGUCGCCUCCUAAAGAGUAACGGAGGCGCCCCAAGGUUCCCUCAGAAUGGUUGGAAAUCAUUCGAAGAGUGCAAAGGCAUAAGGGAGCUUGACUGCGAGACCUACAAGUCGAGCAGGGACGAAAGUCGGGCUUAGUGAUCCGGUGGUACCGCAUGGAAGGGCCAUCGCUCAACGGAUAAAAGCUACCCUGGGGAUAACAGGCUUAUCUCCCCCAAGAGUCCACAUCGACGGGGAGGUUUGGCACCUCGAUGUCGGCUCAUCGCAUCCUGGGGCUGAAGUAGGUCCCAAGGGUUGGGCUGUUCGCCCAUUAAAGCGGUACGCGAGCUGGGUUCAGAACGUCGUGAGACAGUUCGGUCCCUAUCUGUCGUGGGCGUAGGAAAUUUGAGAGGAGCUGUCCUUAGUACGAGAGGACCGGGAUGGACGUACCGCUGGUGCACCAGUUGUUCCGCCAGGAGCAUGGCUGGGUAGCUACGUACGGAAGGGAUAAGCGCUGAAAGCAUCUAAGCGUGAAGCCCCCCUCAAGAUGAGAUUUCCCAACUAGUAAGACCCCUUGAAGACGACGAGGUAGAUAGGUUGGAGGUGGAAGUGCAGCAAUGCAUGGAGCUGACCAAUACUAAUCGGUCGAGGGCUUAUCCAAA
rnacentral:rRNA from 1 species